rnacentral:rRNA from 1 species
UACGUAGGGUGCGAGCGUUAAUCGGAAUUACUGGGCGUAAAGCGUGCGCAGGCGGUUCGUUAAGACAGAUGUGAAAUCCCCGGGCUUAACCUGGGAACUGCAUUUGUGACUGGCGAGCUAGAGUAUGGCAGAGGGGGGUAGAAUUCCACGUGUAGCAGUGAAAUGCGUAGAGAUGUGGAGGAAUACCGAUGGCGAAGGCAGCCCCCUGGGCCAAUACUGACGCUCAUGUACGAAAGCGUGGGGAGCAAACAGG